GUGCUCACUUCAGUUGCACAUAUACUAAAAUUGGAAUGAUACGGAGAAGAUUAGCAUGCUCCCGCACAAGGAUGACAUGCAAAUUUGUAAAGUGUUCCAUAUUUAA
rnacentral:snRNA from 1 species